UUUUUAGAAAAUAUGAUCAUGGGCUUCUUUGACUUUUCUUAUGAAAGACCCCCAAAGUGGGGAGACUCUCACUCAAGUCUUGGGAUGACACGACCCCCAAGAACUCACUAGAGACU
rnacentral:pre_miRNA from 14 species